GGUUAGUCAUUUUCUUCCAUGUCACCCGGUUCUGAAUUUGGAAACUCAGAGAAAAAACACUGACCGCUUCGUUUUAAUGGUGGAUGGCUGUACCCGCCGCCAUUGAAACUGUCUGAAGCUUUCUUUUCAUCGAAACUCUCACAUUAUCAGAAGAACCAGCUUUGUGAUGGCUAGCACCUCAAAUACAGAGUUUAAUUGGAACCGGAAUUAUCGACGAUGGUUGACCGAAACAUUUGACGGCCAUGAAAUGCUUGAUGAUGAGUUAUCAGAUCGUAAUCUCGAUGAAAAUGGUAAUUCGAUUAACAUGUUGGAUCAACAUUUACGUACAGCACCACAUAUCGGUAUGGAGUUUGAGUCUGCGGAGGAUGCAAGGGAGCUGUACGAAAUGUAUGGUCGACGCAUGGGCUUCACCAUUCGGAACAAUCGUACACGUCGUUCACUCAAGGAUAAUUCGAUAAUCGGUCGAGAGUUUUGUUUGCUCGAAAGAAGGUUUCCGUGCGGAAAAAUGUACAAAGAAAGAAACCCGAGUCUCCCAAUCAAGGCCUGCGACGAGAGAGGGAUGUAAUGCAAUGCUGAGAAUAGCCGCAAAGGAUGGGGGGAAAUGGGUUAUCUAUGGUUUUAUUAAAGAACAUAAUCAUGAACUGAAUCCGAGCAAAAUACCGCCUCGAUGGUCGCAUCGGAUUGCAUUUUGUGAGGAUGAAAAAGAUCUUAAGAUUCGAGAACUGUCCGCUGAGCUGCAUCGCGAGAAAAAGAAAUCUGCUGCUUACCAAGAACAGCUUCAGAUGGUUUUGAAUUAUAUCGGAGAGCACACUCGGCGCCUAUCCUUAAAAGUUAAUUCGGUGUCCAACAAUCUGAGGGAGCUUGAAUCUGAAGACUAAGACCACUCAUUUUCUAAGCUGAUUCUCGAACCGUGGACGUCGUUAUCGAAGAGAUUGGUUAAUUAUAUCACCAAAUGUGGAGAUGAUUACGGUUCAUAUCUCGGCUUAAAGCAACCUCACCUUACUCAUAAGUGAACCUGAUUUCGAUCUUUGGUUGAAGAAAAAUGUGUUGCAUAUGAUAGGUAAUAUAUUGUUUCCUCCAAGUUUCUUGAUGACCGAUUUGAGCCAUAAUUUUCUCACCAUAUUUGCUUUGUAGUUGUAAGAAUAGUCUGUAAAUGCAAAAUUUAUGUUAAUCUUUUCUUCCA